CCUACGGGUGACAGCAGUGGGGAAUAUUGCACAAUGGGGGAAACCCUGAUGCAGCGACGCCGCGUGAGUGAAGAAGUAAUUCUUUAUUUAAAGCUCUAUCUGCAGGGAAGAAAAUGACGGUACCUGAGUAAGAAGCCCCGUCUAACUACGUUCCAGCAGCCGCGGUAAUACGUAGGGGGCCAGCGUUAUCCGGAUUUACUGGGGUUAAAGGGAGCGUAGACGGGAGUGCAAGUCUGGAGUGAAAGGCGGAGGAUCAACCCCCGGACUGCUCUUGAAACUGGAAGGCUGGAGUGCAGGAGAGGUAAGUGGAAUUCGUGGUGUAGCGGUGAAAUGCGUAGAUAUCAGGAGGAACCCCAGUGGCGAAGGCAGCUUACUGGACUGUAACUGACGUUGAGGCUCGAAAGCGUGGGGAGCAAACAGGAUUAGAUACCCCGGUAGUG
rnacentral:rRNA from 1 species